GUAACUACCUGCCCUGGCUGAGGGUGGGGAAGGUGCAUUUGGGGCCGAGGCUGGGCUUGAGGGUGUGCGUGAGGUUGUGGAUAUUGCAUAUGAGGAUGAGAAUGAGGAUGAGGUUGAGGUUGAGGUUGAGGUUGAGGUUGUGCAUGAAGAUGUGGUUGUGCGUGGGGUGGGGGUUGCGCAUGAACAGGUGGCUGCAUAUGAGGUUGGGGAUGGAGUUGAGGUUGUGGUUGAGGGUGAGGCUGCAUAUGGGGUUGCGCAUGGGGGUGAGGCUGGGCUUGUGGAUGGGUAUGAGGUUGAGCGAUGGCAUUUGGGUGAGGCUGUUGUUGAGCUGGUAAUUGUUGGGGCUGGGCUUGUGGUUGCAUUGGAAUAGGUUGUUGAACUGGACCAUGCAUUUGGGUUUGAGGCUGAGGGUGAGGUUGAACAUAGGCCUGAGCUUGUGCUGGAUAUUGGGGUUGGACAUGAGGUUGUGGUCCUUGUGGUUGGGGUUGUAAGGCCUGUGGCUGAGCUUGUGGACCUUGUGGUUGAGGUUGUGUGCCUUGUGGGUGUGGCUGCAACUGGUGUUGUUGGAAUUGUUGAAGAGCAUGCUGUUGAUAUUGUUC
rnacentral:lncRNA from 1 species